rnacentral:rRNA from 1 species
UAUUGGUCAAUGGAGGCAACUCUGAACCAGCCAUGCCGCGUGCAGGAAGACGGCCCUAUGGGUUGUAAACUGCUUUUGUCGGGGAAGAAACCCCCUCUUGCGAGAGGGGCUGACGGUACUCGAAGAAUAAGGAUCGGCUAACUCCGUGCCAGCAGCCGCGGUAAUACGGAGGAUCCGAGCGGUAUCCGGAUUUAUUGGGUUUAAAGGGUGCGUAGGCGGCGUUGUAAGUCAGUGGUGAAAGUUUGCGGCUUAACCGUAAAAUUGCCAUUGAUACUGCAGUGCUUGAGUAUAGAUGAGGAGGGCGGAAUGUGUCAUGUAGCGGUGAAAUGCAUAGAUAUGACACAGAACACCGAUUGCGAAGGCAGCUCACUAAACUAAAACUGACGCUGAGGCACGAAAGCGUGGGGAUCAAACAGG